rnacentral:rRNA from 1 species
UGCUUUACACAUGCAAGUUGAGCGAGGCCGGUAGCAAUACCGAGUCGAGCGGCGAACGGGUGAGUAACGCGUGGAUAACCUGCCCUGAGAUGGGGAAUAACCCGGGGAAACUCGGGCUAAUACCGCAUGAUACCGAGAGGUCAAAGAGGGGUCGCAAGAUCUCUUGUCACAGGAGGGGUCCGCGUUCGAUUAGCUAGUUGGUAGGGUAAUGGCCUACCAAGGCGACGAUCGAUAGCCGGCCUGAGAGGGUGAUCGGCCACACUGGAACUGAGACACGGUCCAGACUCCUACGGGAGGCAGCAGUGGGGAAUUUUGCGCAAUGGGCUAACGCCUGACGCAGCAACGCCGCGUGGAGGAUGAAGGUCUUUGGAUUGUAAACUCCUGUCAGCAGGGAAAAAGGGACUAGGCCUAAUACGUCUGGAACUUGAUUGUACCUGCAGAGGAAGCCCCGGCUAACUCUGUGCCAGCAGCCGCGGUAAUACAGAGGGGGCAAGCGUUAUUCGGAAUUAUUGGGCGUAAAGGGCGCGUAGGCGGCUUUUCAAGUGACGGGUGAAAUCCCUCGGCUUAACCGAGGAACUGCCUGUCAGACUGGAAGGCUUGAGACCGGGAGAGGUGAGUGGAAUUCCCAGUGUAGCGGUGAAAUGCGUAGGUAUUGGGAGGAACACCAGUGGCGAAGGCGGCUCACUGGACCGGAACUGACGCUGAGGCGCGAAAGCGUGGGGAGCAAACAGGAUUAGAUACUCUGGUAGUCCACGCCGUAAACGAUGAGUGCUUGGUGUAGCGGGUAUCGACCCCUGCUGUGCCGAAGUCAACACAUUAAGCACUCCGCCUGGGGAGUACGGUCGCAAGACUGAAACUCAAAGGAAUUGACGGGGGCCCGCACAAGCGGUGGAGCAUGCGGUUUAAUUCGAAGCAACGCGCAGAACCUUACCUGGGUU